CGGUGAGGAGGCAACACAAGCCACAGGCAAUGAGGACGUAGGCCAGGAUGUAACACAGGGAGCUGUUGUAGACAUUGUGGAGGGACAUCAGGUGGAAGGAGAGGUGAUGGGAACUGAAGGUUGGUUGGCAGGUUUAGUAGAUGGUAGGGUGCUAUCAGUACACCUACAGAAGCAGAAUGGUGCAGACGAAACCAAGCGUUUACUGUCGUUCUACUACAGUAUGACUGCUAGAAGGAGGAAGGUUCUGUUGUCAUGUUGUCCCACUAUGGUGAUGCAGGUACAUUGUGGUUCCUUCUCUCUUUAUGCUGUCAGACAAAGGGGAAGGGGCGGAGACUUAAGGAGAUGACUGUGUAAAAUCAGGGUGACUCAGUUUACAGUCUGUUUACCAGGUAUUUAUGAGGUUACAUGGUAAAAGUGAUUAUGUCUGACUUAGUGAAUAGAGAAAUACCUAAUGAAACAGCACGGUAACAUUUUUAAGCAAUAUUUAUUUACAAAAAUAAAACUAUUUUUAAAAAAUAUUGCGAAAAUUACAGACUAAUGUAUUUGGAUGAAUAAUAAUCAAAUAUCAGAUACAAAUUAUUUUGCUGUCAAAUAUGGUAUUAUGUUAUUUCUUUCUAAAGAUAUUAAAAACAGUGAUAUUGUCCAGA